rnacentral:tRNA from 1 species
GGGCGCAUAGCUCAGUUGGUUAGAGUGUUUGCUUGACGUGCAAAAGGUCGGUGGUUCGAAUCCACCUGCGCCCA